rnacentral:rRNA from 1 species
GAUCUAAUUAGCGCCUUGAGAAUGCCUGAUCUCGUCUAAUCUCAGAAGCUAAGCAGGGUCAGGUAUGGUUAGCAUUCAAAUGGGAGACCGCCCAGGAGUACCAAGUACUGAGAGCU